rfam:Deltaproteobacteria bacterium 13_1_40CM_4_68_19 13_1_40cm_4_scaffold_384, whole genome shotgun sequence.
GCCCGGGUGGCGGAACGGUAGACGCGGAGCGCUUAAAACGCCCUGAGCCAAAAGCUCGUGCCGGUUCGAGUCCGGCCCCGGGUA